rnacentral:tRNA from 1 species
GGGAAUAUAGCUCACUUGGUAGGGAGCUUUGCCUCCCAUGCACAAGGCCCUGGGUUCAAUCCCCAGUACCA